CCCUUAGAUGUUCUGGGCUGCACACGUGCUACACUGGCAGGUUCAGCGAGCUUCAUGCCCUGAUCUGAAAGGAAUGGGAAAUCUUUUCAAAACCUGCCGUGCUUGGGAUAGAUGUUUGCAAUUAUUCAUCUUCAACGAGGAUUGCCUUGUAAGCGAACGUCAUCAGCGUGCAUUGAAUACGACCCUGUAUUCUGUACACACCGCCCGUCGCUCCUACCGAUUGAAGUUUUCGGUGAGUUGACAGGAGGAUUUUUUUGAAACUGGUUCGCCAGUGGAUUUUAGAUCCAAAUGCCAACGAAUCGAUGGCUUUAGAGGAAGGAGAAGUCGUAACA
rnacentral:rRNA from 1 species